rnacentral:rRNA from 1 species
GACGAACGCUGGCGGCGUGCUUAACACAUGCAAGUCGAACGGAAAGGCCCUGCUUUUGUGGGGUGCUCGAGUGGCGAACGGGUGAGUAACACGUGAGUAACCUGCCCUUGACUUUGGGAUAACUUCAGGAAACUGGGGCUAAUACCGGAUAGGAGCUCCUGCUGCAUGGUGGGGGUUGGAAAGUUUCGGCGGUUGGGGAUGGACUCGCGGCUUAUCAGCUUGUUGGUGGGGUAGUGGCUUACCAAGGCUUUGACGGGCAGCCGGCCUGAGAGGGUGACCGGCAACAUGGGGACUGAGAUACGGCCCAGACUCCUACGGGAGGCAGCAGUGGGGAAUAUUGCACAAGGGGCGGAAGCCGGAGGCAGCAACGCCGCGGGCGGGAGGACGGCCUUCGGGUUGUAAACCGCUUUCGCUGGUGACGAAGCGGGAGUGACGGUAAUGGGUAAAGAAGCACCGGCUAACUACGU